rnacentral:rRNA from 1 species
AAAUUGAAGAGUUUGAUCAUGGCUCAGAUUGAACGCUGGCGGCAGGCCUAACACAUGCAAGUCGAACGGUAACAGGAAGCAGCUUGCUGCUUUGCUGACGAGUGGCGGACGGGUGAGUAAUGUCUGGGAAACUGCCUGAUGGAGGGGGAUAACUACUGGAAACGGUGGCUAAUACCGCAUAACGUCGCAAGACCAAAGAGGGGGACCUUCGGGCCUCUUGCCAUCAGAUGUGCCCAGAUGGGAUUAGCUAGUUGGUGAGGUAACGGCUCACCAAGGCGACGAUCCCUAGCUGGUCUGAGAGGAUGACCAGUCACACUGGAACUGAGACACGGUCCAGACUCCUACGGGAGGCAGCAGUGGGGAAUAUUGCACAAUGGGCGCAAGCCUGAUGCAGCCAUGCCGCGUGUAUGAAGAAGGCCUUCGGGUUGUAAAGUACUUUCAGCGGGGAGGAAGGUGUUGUGGUUAAUAACC